rnacentral:rRNA from 1 species
ACGAAAAAUGAAUACCAAGUCUCAAGAGUGAACACGUAAUUCAUUACGAAGUUUAAUUCAUUGAGCAUCAAACUUUUAAAUUGAAGAGUUUGAUCAUGGCUCAGAUUGAACGCUGGCGGCAGGCCUAACACAUGCAAGUCGAACGGUAACAGGAAGCAGCUUGCUGCUUUGCUGACGAGUGGCGGACGGGUGAGUAAUGUCUGGGAAACUGCCUGAUGGAGGGGGAUAACUACUGGAAACGGUGGCUAAUACCGCAUAACGUCGCAAGACCAAAGAGGGGGACCUUCGGGCCUCUUGCCAUCAGAUGUGCCCAGAUGGGAUUAGCUUGUUGGUGAGGUAACGGCUCACCAAGGCGACGAUCCCUAGCUGGUCUGAGAGGAUGACCAGCCACACUGGAACUGAGACACGGUCCAGACUCCUACGGGAGGCAGCAGUGGGGAAUAUUGCACAAUGGGCGCAAGCCUGAUGCAGCCAUGCCGCGUGUAUGAAGAAGGCCUUCGGGUUGUAAAGUACUUUCAGCGGGGAGGAAGGUGUUGUGGUUAAUAACCGCAGCAAUUGACGUUACCCGCAGAAGAAGCACCGGCUAACUCCGUGCCAGCAGCCGCGGUAAUACGGAGGGUGCAAGCGUUAAUCGGAAUUACUGGGCGUAAAGCGCACGCAGGCGGUCUGUCAAGUCGGAUGUGAAAUCCCCGGGCUCAACCUGGGAACUGCAUUCGAAACUGGCAGGCUUGAGNNNNNNNNNNNNNNNNNNNNGAAUUCCAGGUGUAGCGGUGAAAUGCGUAGAGAUCUGGAGGAAUACCGGUGGCGAAGGCGGCCCCCUGGACAAAGACUGACGCUCAGGUGCGAAAGCGUGGGGAGCAAACAGGAUUAGAUACCCUGGUAGUCCACGCCGUAAACGAUGUCUACUUGGAGGUUGUGCCCUUGAGGCGUGGCUUCCGGAGCUAACGCGUUAAGUAGACCGCCUGGGGAGUACGGCCGCAAGGUUAAAACUCAAAUGAAUUGACGGGGGCCCGCACAAGCGGUGGAGCAUGUGGUUUAAUUCGAUGCAACGCGAAGAACCUUACCUGGUCUUGACAUCCACGGAAGUUUUCAGAGAUGAGAAUGUGCCUUCGGGAACCGUGAGACAGGUGCUGCAUGGCUGUCGUCAGCUCGUGUUGUGAAAUGUUGGGUUAAGUCCCGCAACGAGCGCAACCCUUAUCCUUUGUUGCCAGCGGUCCGGCCGGGAACUCAAAGGAGACUGCCAGUGAUAAACUGGAGGAAGGUGGGGAUGACGUCAAGUCAUCAUGGCCCUUACGACCAGGGCUACACACGUGCUACAAUGGCGCAUACAAAGAGAAGCGACCUCGCGAGAGCAAGCGGACCUCAUAAAGUGCGUCGUAGUCCGGAUUGGAGUCUGCAACUCGACUCCAUGAAGUCGGAAUCGCUAGUAAUCGUGGAUCAGAAUGCCACGGUGAAUACGUUCCCGGGCCUUGUACACACCGCCCGUCACACCAUGGGAGUGGGUUGCAAAAGAAGUAGGUAGCUUAACCUUCGGGAGGGCGCUUACCACUUUGUGAUUCAUGACUGGGGUGAAGUCGUAACAAGGUAACCGUAGGGGAACCUGCGGUUGGAUCACCUCCUUACCUUAAAGAAGCGUACUUUGCAGUGCUCACACAGAUUGUCUGAUGAAAA